rnacentral:rRNA from 1 species
CCAGACUCCUACGGGAGGCAGCAGUGGGGAAUAUUGCACAAUGGGGGAAACCCUGAUGCAGCGACGCCGCGUGAGCGAUGAAGUAUUUCGGUAUGUAAAGCUCUAUCAGCAGGGAAGAAAAUGACGGUACCUGACUAAGAAGCCCCGGCUAACUACGUGCCAGCAGCCGCGGUAAUACGGAGGAUCCGAGCGUUAUCCGGAUUUAUUGGGUUUAAAGGGUGCGCAGGCGGGCCUUUAAGCCGGCGGUGAAACGGGGGGGCUCACCCCCGCCGAGCCGUCGGAACUGGGGGCCUUGAGUGCGGCGGAGGCAUGCGGAAUGCGCGGUGUAGCGGUGAAAUGCAUAGAUAUCGCGCGGACCCCCGAUUGCGAAGGCAGCGUGCCGUGCCGCCACUGACGCUGAGGCACGAAAGCGCGGGGAUCGAACAGGAUUAGAUACCCCUGUAA